UCAUAUCACUCUGCAUCAUCUGAACAAUUGAACACCACUUCAUUCCAUACCACUCUGCUACUCCCCACCCCACAAUUUUAAGACUAAAUUAGUGAUAAGAAUAUUGAAAAAAUAAAAGGAUUUAAUUUAUAUACACCAAUAUUUCUCUUUUCCACCUACAUUUAAUCAAAUUACUUCAUGAUAUAAAUUUUAUAAUAUCUACUUGCCAUGAAUUGAAUGCAUAGGUAAAAAUAGUGCACAAUGCAUAUAAAUUAGGUUAAACUUUGAAAAAAGAAAGAUAAAAACGGAACCUUCAUGGAGAGGAAGACAUUAUCCUGUCUUUGGAAUUCAAAGAGGACGGAGACGAGGUCGGACUUGAGCAAGCGAGAAACGUUGGACCGGACAAAGCGGUCGAGACGAACCGGGUCGGGUUGGAGUCUUUUGAGUUCUUUGGUAAUGAUGAGACCUUCUUUACCCAACUCUUUCUUCCGCCUCCAUAUUGAUAGGCUCGGUUUAGAAGCCGAACCGAAAAUGGAUCGGGAAGAGGGUUUAACGACGGUGGAUGUAGAAGUUGAAGAAACUCUUCGCAGUGCAAGUCGCAGCAUUAAGAUAUCGAUUUUCUCUAGGCUAUAGCAAGUGACGGUGACUGUGUCUUGAAUGGAAAUGAUUCAAACUUAUCCAUUUAUUAAA